UUGAAUGUCCCUCCCAUUCAGACGGGUUUGCAUCACCAGGUAAGCAAUGUAUGUUAUCCAUAUGGUACUGGUCCUUUUCUUGUGACUACGUAAUUGACUCUAUUCACUCUAAAUGGAAAGUUGGCGUUGUUUUUCAUAUAUAGUUGAUGUAUGUAUAGAUAUUCUAUAUUAGGUAGCUAUAUUAUGGUACGUAGGUUCCAUUUUAUAGAUCACGAUAGAUUGUGAUAGUACUGAAUUAUUGUGCUCCUUUUAUGUGAUAGUUACCCAUAUUGUUCAGGUUUACAUUUCAUAUCACUAAAACGGUCUCGGUCUCUUUCAGCUUAAAAGACACAAAGAUCUUCUACAUCAAGUGUACAAGGAUAUUCGUUGUUCCCAGUUUUAAAUGAAUCCAGCUGUUCUUUAUUGUUCCUGGAAUUUGAACGUUCUUCGUUAUUCCAUAUGGUUCUUCAGUUGAUCGUGUGACUAGUGAUGUCGCCGUUACCAAGAGGAAGUGACUCAGUGGAAGGAGUAUCUUAUACUCUCUGCCUGUCUCCUUUUUCUCUAUAUGUCUUUGCUGCUAUGGAGUAGUAAAGGAACAUUAUGCAAAAUACUCGCCUCCUGUCAUUAUUAAAAUUAUUUGUACCCUAAAGCUA